AAUAGAUACCCGGGUAGUCCACGCCGUAAACGAUGAGUGCUAAGUGUUAGGGGGUUUCCGCCCCUUAGUGCUGCAGCUAACGCAUUAAGCACUCCGCCUGGGGAGUACGGUCGCAAGACUGAAACUCAAAGGAAUUGACGGGGGCCCGCACAAGCGGUGGAGCAUGUGGUUUAAUUCGAAGCAACGCGAAGAACCUUACCAGGUCUUGACAUCCCAUUGACCACUAUGGAGACAUAGUUUUCCCUUCGGGGACAACGGUGACAGGUGGUGCAUGGUUGUCGUCAGCUCGUGUCGUGAGAUGUUGGGUUAAGUCCCGCAGCGAGCGCAACCCUUGUUCUUAGUUGCCAUCAUUUAGUUGGGCACUCUAAGGAGACUGCCGGUGACAAACCGGAGGAAGGUGGGGAUGACGUCAAAUCAUCAUGCCCCUUAUGACCUGGGCUACACACGUGCUACAAUGGACGGUACAAACGGUUGCCAACCCGCGAGGGGAGCUAAUCCGAUAAAACCGUUCUCAGUUCGGAUUGUAGGCUGCAACUCGCCUACA
rnacentral:rRNA from 1 species